GACGAACGCUGGCGGCGUGCCUAACACAUGCAAGUCGAACGGAAAGGCGCUGAUCUUGUGGGGUGCUCGAUUGGCGAACGGGGGAGUAUCACGUGAGUAACCUGCCCUUGUCUUUGGGAUAACAUCAGGAAACUGGGGCUAAUACAGGAUAGGAGCUCCUGAAGCGUGGUGGGCGUUGGAAAGUGUCGGCUGUUGGGGAUGGUCUGGCGGCUUAUGAGCUUGUUUGUGGGGUAGUGGCUUACCAAGGCUUUGACGGGUAGGCUGCCUGAGAGCGUGGCCGGGCACCAUGGUACUACGAUACGGCCCAGACUCCUACGGGAGGCAACAGUGGGGAGUAUUGCACAAUGGGCGCACGCCUGAUGUGGAGGCCCCGCGUGCGGGAUGCCGUCCUUCGGGUUGUAAACCGCUUUCGCCUGAGACGAAGCGGGAUUGACGGUAAUGGGUAAAGAAGCACCGGCUAACUACGUG
rnacentral:rRNA from 1 species